UGCGGGGGGGGCAAGCGUUGUUCGGAAUUACUGGGCGUAAAGAGCUCGUAGGUGGUUUGUCGCGUUGUUCGUGAAAACCGGGGGCUUAACCCUCGGCGUGCGGGCGAUACGGGCAGACUUGAGUACUGCAGGGGAGACUGGAAUUCCUGGUGUAGCGGUGGAAUGCGCAGAUAUCAGGAAGAACACCCGUGGCGAAGGCGGCUCUCUGGGACGGUACUGACGCUGAGACGCGAAAGCGUGGGGAGCAAACAGG
rnacentral:rRNA from 1 species